rnacentral:rRNA from 1 species
UACGGAGGGGGCUAGCGUUGUUCGGAAUCACUGGGCGUAAAGCGCACGUAGGCGGCUUUUUAAGUCAGGGGUGAAAUCCUGGAGCUCAACUCCAGAACUGCCUUCGAUACUGGGAGUCUCGAGUUCGGGAGAGGUGAGUGGAACUGCGAGUGUAGAGGUGAAAUUCGUAGAUAUUCGCAAGAACACCAGUGGCGAAGGCGGCUCACUGGCCCGAUACUGACGCUGAGGUGCGAAAGCGUGGGGAGCAAACAGG